rnacentral:rRNA from 1 species
UACGAAGGGGGCUAGCGUUGCUCGGAAUCACUGGGCGUAAAGGGUGCGUAGGCGGGUCUUUAAGUCAGGGGUGAAAUCCUGGAGCUCAACUCCAGAACUGCCUUUGAUACUGAAGAUCUUGAGUUCGGGAGAGGUGAGUGGAACUGCGAGUGUAGAGGUGAAAUUCGUAGAUAUUGGGAAGAACACCGGUGGCGAAGGCGGCGCUCUGGACCGAGACUGACGCUGAGGCGCGAAGGCUAGGGGAGCGAACGGG